GAUGAACGCUGGCGGCGUGCCUAAUACAUGCAAGUCGAGCGAAUGGAUUAAGAGCUUGCUCUUAUGAAGUUAGCGGCGGACGGGUGAGUAACACGUGGGUAACCUGCCCAUAAGACUGGGAUAACUCCGGGAAACCGGGGCUAAUACCGGAUAACAUUUUGAACCGCAUGGUUCGAAAUUGAAAGGCGGCUUCGGCUGUAACUUAUGGAUGGACCCGUGUCGCAUUAGCUAGUUGGUGAGGUAACGGCUCACCAAGGCAACGAUGCGUAGCCGACCUGAGAGGGUGAUCGGCCACACUGGGACUGAGACACGGCCCAGACUCCUACGGGAGGCAGCAGUAGGGAAUCUUCCGCAAUGGACGAAAGUCUGACGGAGCAACGCCGCGUGAGUGAUGAAGGCUUUCGGGUCGUAAAACUCUGUUGUUAGGGAAGAACAAGUGCUAGUUGAAUAAGCUGGCACCUUGACGGUACCUAACCAGAAAGCCACGGCUAACUACGUGCCAGCAGCCGCAGUAA
rnacentral:rRNA from 1 species